rnacentral:ncRNA from 1 species
AUAAAUAAAAAUUUUUAUGAUUUAAAAAAUUUAUUUUAAAUUUAUUUUACAUAUAAAUUUUAGUGUAAAAUUUUAAUUAUUUUAAUAAUAAUUAAUUUUAUUAGUAGUAAUUAAUAUUAAAAAUUUAAGAAAUUAAGAUUUAGUAAUAUAUAAAUUAAUAACAAAUUUUGUGCCAGCAGUUGCGGUUAAACAAAAAUUAAAUUAAAUUUUAUUAGUAAUUAAUUAAUAUUUAUUAUUAUUAAAUAAUUAAAACAUUAAAUUAUUAGGUGAAAUUUUAAUUUAAUUAAAAAUUAAUUAUAAAUUAUGAUUUAAUAAAUUUUAUUAUAAACUAGGAUUAGAUACCCUAUUAUUAAAAAUYUAAAUUAUAAUACUAAAAUAGUAGAUAAUUGUUUAUUGAAACUUAAUUAAUUUGGCGGUAUUUUAGUUCAUUUAGAGGAAUCUGUUUAUUAAUUGAUAAUCCACGAAUAAUUUUACUUAAUUAAUAAUUUUGUAUAUCGUUGUUAAAAAAAUAUUUUUGAAUAAUUUUAAUAUUUAAAAAUUUUAAAUAAAAAUUAAAUCAGAUCAAGAUGCAGAUUAUAAUUAAGAAUAUAAUGGAUUACAAUAAAUUUAUUUAUAUGGAUAUUUAAUUGAAAUAUUAAAUUAAAAGUGGAUUUAAAUGUAAUUUUAUUUAAUUUAAUAAAAUGAUUAAAAAUUAAAAUAUGUACAUAUUGCCCGUCGCUUUCAUUUAYAAAUUGAAAUAAGUCGUAACAAAGUAGAGGUACUGGAAAGUGUUUCUAGAAAGAA